rnacentral:lncRNA from 1 species
AGGCAGACGUCGAAGCUGUUGUGGGUUUGAUUACAGACCCUUGCAAUGAAGAGAAUGUCGCAAUAAAAUGAGUCACAAACGUUUUGAUUUCCCAGUGCAUGUAACAGUUAUGUAGUCAAAAUUAAGUAUGUAACAGCAUUCGGUCUAAAGAUUGUAUGUACCUGAAUUUAAAAAUACUUUAUUGCUAAAAAUGCUAACCAUCAUCUGAGCCUUCCGGGAGCUGGAAUCUUUCUGCAACAGUAAUACCACUGAUGACCAUAACAGACGUAAUGAUAAUGAAACAGGUUGAAACAUUUCAAGAAUUACCAAAAUGUGACAUAGCGACACAAACCGAGCAAAUGCUGGUGGAAAAAAAGUGCCAACUGACUUGCUCAGUACAGGAUUGCCAAAAACCUCCAGUCUGUAAAGCAAACAAACAAAAAAAAACUCAGUAUCUGUGAAGUGCAGUAAAGCAUAGUAAACAAGGAAUGCCUGUGAUACACGCUCAAUAAAUAUCUUUUGGAUGAAAAAAAAUGCAAGUACUGACUAGUAUUACUAAUGUUGCAGCAAAAUUUCUGACACCGUUCCUCCUCCUGGGGUGAGGAGAAAGCCAGGACGGGGGUGUGUGCUGAGGGGGCAUCUCGGGACCUAGGUCACGGGUCUCCUUGGCACUGACCUUCACCUUACAGGCUUGUUUCUCUCUCCAGGGGUCCAGCAGCUAGCUCCCCUCCUCCGCCGGCCCUGGGAUCUCACCUGCUCGCUCUCUGCAGCACCUGCUAUCUUCAGCCCUCACGGGGGCCGCUCCCAAAGGCUGCCCCGUUGCCAUCGGAGACCUGGGUGUUAAGUUAGGAGACAAUUACGGGCAGAGUCAGCUCUGGGCCAGGCUGAGGUUCCAGGACCCCUGUUCCCCAGUUCAGCUGGGAGAGGCCCUGGUCCCUCUCAGAUGCCCUUGACACCCCCGUAUAACCUUAGCAAGGGCCUCAGAUCCCUCAUCUACGCUGCAGAGGCUCCUCCUAACAGAAAGAUGGAGAUUUCUGGGCCCUCGGGAACAGCAUGUCACCAGACUGCCAGCAGGCUCAGCAUCCUCUCCUGACUUGCAGUGAAGACGUGCCUUGUCAACACCUCCUCCACACAGGCUAGUGGGCAAGGCUGGGCUCCCUGAGCUCUGGGCAGCACCACGGCUCCCAUGGCACAUGCCUGACACGCCCCCCUUCCGCCGCAGGGCAUCCCUGGUUUGGCCUGCUCCCUCCCAGGGCCAGCACCAGCCACCGGGGGCUGCUCACCCCAAACCCCUCUCACCCUUUCUUCACUCAGCCUCUUUUUUUUUUUUUCGGGCCACACCUGCAGCAUAUGGAAGUUCCCAGGCUAGGGGUCGAAUCAGAGCUGUAGCCACUGGCCUACACCCCAGCCACAGCAAUGCCAGAUCCGAGCCGCAUCUGCAACCUACACCACAGCUCAUAGCAACACUGGAUCGUUAACCCACGGAGCAAGGUCAGGGAUCAAACCUGCAUCCUCAUGGAUCCUAGUCGGGUUUGUUAACCACUGAGCCACGAAGGGAACUCCCCAGCCUCUAAAACUUGGCAUGACCUUCCUGGAAUUCUCCCUCCUGAGGACCCAGUGACCUUGGAUCAGCAACGUCCUCAACAGCUCCAGAACUCCAGCUCCAGAACUGUGUCCGCACGUCCUACGGAUUCACUGAGGCUGCCUGGGGAGGUGGAAGCGUUCAGUGAGUCACGAACCACCACCCCCCUCCGCCCCUGCCCCCGGAAAACCCGCUGUGUGGCUCCAUGGUCGUACUGGCUGGCAGGGCUGUGCCCAGACCUGCUGGUCCCCAAGCAGCCUCCCCUCUGGCCUAGCCUGGCUCUUUGAGAGCAGACAGCACAUACUUCCGAGUUGCUGCGCAGCUCGGGUCCCCUUCAUAGCACCCCUGGAUCUACCUCUGGCACAAGAGUGGCUGGUGGCACUUUUCCACUCCUGUUUCCUAAUUGGCUUGUCUGCCCUAAGGUGGCUUAGGCACCAUCCUGGAAACCUGCCCCUUUCCUGCCCCCCCACCCCCCACCCCUCAGGGGCUGGGCUGGCUGAGCGUUCUGCAGGGCGGGCAGCUUAGGUCCAAGCUCUGGCUCUGCGCAGGGGCUAGAAGGCAGAGGACAGCGACCGGCUGAGAACCCAGGCUGCGAAUGUGAGCUUGUCCAGACUUGCGCCUGAGCGCCCCCUGGAGGCCACGGGGGUCAGUGCACCCUCAUCCGGCCACCAGAGGCCACCAUCCCCUUUCCUCCCUGAAACUGACUCUCCACAGCCAUCCUCCCCGACCCUCUCAGCCUGGCUGUGGGGCCCUCAGGCCACGUCCCCUCCUCGGCAAAGCCCUGCUGCCCAGAACAGGUUUGGGGGCCUGGCUCUUGCUUGAUUUCUUGGGUAAUUCAAGUCUGGAAAUAUCCAACCACCCCCUUUUCCAGGCAGCCUUCCUAACCAGCAGCUUUCCGGCUGGGCCCUACGGGAGUCUGCAUGUGGGCUGCAAACACCUGCAGGGACAGAGCCUCCUCCUGCAGCGCCAGGGGCCCCAUUUCAGCUGGACACGGAUGCACAGGGCACGGGUGUCUCUUGGAAUGGCAGCCUGCCCCCACCUCGGUUACUUCUCCUGGUGCCCUCUGAGUGCUGGGUGUGCUGCCCAUGGCCGUGGCCGUGUGCUCCCAGGAGCAGAGACUGGAUUCCCCCUUGCCUGAGCUUAGAAAAAUGGGGGAGUUCCAUCGUGGCUCAGAGGAAACGAAUCCGACUAGUAUCCAUGAGGAUGCAGGUUCGAUCCCUGGCCUCACUCAGUGGGCUAUGGAUCCAGCGUUGCUCUGAGCUGUGGUGUAGGUCGAAGACGUGGCUCGGAUCUGGCAUUGCUGUGGCUAUGGUGUAGGCCGAUGGCUACAGCUCCAAUUCAGCCCCUAGCCUGGGAACCUCCAUAUGCCUCUGGUGAGGCC